rnacentral:rRNA from 1 species
UCGAACGAGAGAGAAGGAGCUUGCUUCUUCGAUCGAGUGGCGAACGGGUGAGUAACGCGUGAGGAACCUGCCUCAAAGAGGGGGACAACAGUUGGAAACGACUGCUAAUACCGCAUAAGCCCACGGAUCGGCAUCGAUCUGAGGGAAAAGGAGCAAUCCGCUUUGAGAUGGCCUCGCGUCCGAUUAGCUAGUUGGUGAGGUAACGGCCCACCAAGGCGACGAUCGGUAGCCGGACUGAGAGGUUGAACGGCCACAUUGGGACUGAGACACGGCCCAGACUCCUACGGGAGGCAGCAGUGGGGAAUAUUGCACAAUGGGGGAAACCCUGAUGCAGCGACGCCGCGUGGAGGAAGAAGGUCUUCGGAUUGUAAACUCCUGUUGUUGGGGAAGAUAAUGACGGUACCCAACAAGGAAGUGACGGCUAACUACGUGCCAGCAGCCGCGGUAAAACGUAGGUCACAAGCGUUGUCCGGAAUUACUGGGUGUAAAGGGAGCGCAGGCGGGAAGACAAGUUGGAAGUGAAAUCUAUGGGCUCAACCCAUAAACUGCUUUCAAAACUGUUUUUCUUGAGUAGUGCAGAGGUAGGCGGAAUUCCCGGUGUAGCGGUGGAAUGCGUAGAUAUCGGGAGGAACACCAGUGGCGAAGGCGGCCUACUGGGCACCAACUGACGCUGAGGCUCGAAAGUGUGGGUAGCAAACAGGAUUAGAUACCCUGGUAGUCCACACCGUAAACGAUGAUUACUAGGUGUUGGAGGAUUGACCCCUUCAGUGCCGCAGUUAACACAAUAAGUAAUCCACCUGGGGAGUAC